rnacentral:ncRNA from 1 species
GGCGAGUGAAGCGGCAAGAGCUCAAAUUUGAAAGCUGGCUCCUUCGGAGUCCGCAUUGUAAUUUGCAGAGGAUGCUUUGGGUGCGGCCCCCGUCUAAGUGCCCUGGAACGGGCCGUCAGAGAGGGUGAGAAUCCCGUCUUGGGCGGGGUGUCCGUGCCCGUGUAAAGCUCCUUCGACGAGUCGAGUUGUUUGGGAAUGCAGCUCUAAAUGGGUGGUAAAUUUCAUCUAAAGCUAAAUACUGGCCGGAGACCGAUAGCGCACAAGUAGAGUGAUCGAAAGAUGAAAAGCACUUUGAAAAGAGAGUUAAACAGCACGUGAAAUUGUUGAAAGGGAAGCGCUUGCAACCAGACUCGCCCGCGGGGUUCAGCCGGCAUUCGUGCCGGUGUACUUCCCCGUGGGCGGGCCAGCGUCGGUUUGGGCGGCCGGUCAAAGGCCCCUGGAAUGUAGUGCCCUCCGGGGCACCUUAUAGCCAGGGGUGCAAUGCGGCCAGCCUAGACCGAGGAACGCGCUUCGGCUCGGACGCUGGCAUAAUGGUUGUAAACGACCCGUCUUGAAACACGGACCAAGGAGUCUAACAUCUACGCGAGUGUUCGGGUGUCAAACCCGUGCGCGCAGUGAAAGCGAACGGAGGUGGGAGCCCCCUCGUGGGGCGCACCAUCGACCGAUCCUGAUGUCUUCGGAUGGAUUUGAGUAAGAGCGUAAAUGUG